UGGGGAAUAUUGCGCAAUGGGCGAAAGCCUGACGCAGCAACGCCGCGUGAGUGAUGAAGGCCUUCGGGUCGUAAAGCUCUGUCGGAGGGAACGAAUGCUCUUGAGGUUAACAGCCUCAGGAAAUGACGGUACCCUCAAAGGAAGCACCGGCUAACUCUGUGCCAGCAGCCGCGGUAAUACAGAGGGUGCAAGCGUUGCUCGGAUUUACUGGGCGUAAAGGGCGCGUAGGCGGCAAUUCAAGUCAUCUGUGAAAUCUCCGGGCUUAACUCGGAACGGUCAGAUGAUACUGCUUUGCUAGAGUGCAGAAGGGGCAAUCGGAAUUCUUGGUGUAGCGGUGAAAUGCGUAGAUAUCAAGAGGAACACCUGAGGUGAAGACGGGUUGCUGGGCUGACACUGACGCUGAGGCGCGAAAGCCAGGGGAGCAAACAGGAUUAGAUACCCCAGUAGUCCCUGAGCGGGCUGGCAAGGCGCAU
rnacentral:rRNA from 1 species